rnacentral:RNase_P_RNA from 1 species
AGUUGGUCGGAUAAUCGCUGGGUAUUUUAUACCGAGAGGAAAGUCCGGGCUCCAUAGAGCGGGAUGCUAGGUAACGCCUAGGUAUGGUGACAUAACGGACAGUGCUGAAGAAAUUUAAACCGCCUGGUGACAGGUAAGGGUGAGAAGGUGCGGUAAGAGCGCACCGCACAUUUGGUGACAAAUGUGGCAUGGUAAACCCCAUCCGGAGCAAGCUCAAAUAGGAUAGCGUUGAUGUGGCUCGCAGAGUUAUCGGGUAGAGUGCUUGAGGUAGUUGGCAACAACUAUCCUAGAUGAAUGAUUAUCAGAUACAGAACCCGGCUUACAGACCAACUUCA